AUUUAGCAGGGUUUAAAUGUGCUGCCUGCCAUCUGUCGCUCACCAAUUUUGAAGUGUUUUUUUUUAUUUCUUAGGAGACAGGACAGGAGUAGCUCAGAGUUGAGAACAGAAGUCAGAGAUAUUGAAUGAACCCCAAGCCGAGUCUCAUGUCUUCCCUUAUCAGCAAACAUCAGACUGCUGUGCAUCUCUCCAGCUUCAUUUGUUGUAGCCAGUGAAGCGAACACACAUUCCCUCAACAGAGCCAAGAAAAGCAGACCGUGCAUCAUGUUUGUGGAGAGAUCAGGGGAUUGGGUCCUCCAUCACCACAACGAGUGCAAUCAGGCCGUACGUCUCCAGGCUAAUGUUCUGUUUGUGUUGGUCGCCAUUGAGCAGAUGCGGAGGGCCGUCUGGGGCCACGAGAGGCACAUAACCGUCUGGCCAGGUGGGAAAGCGUAGAGGAAAGCCGAUUGUAUGCUGGAGGAGUGAGAACAUAGACACAUACUUAUAGAGUGACAUGAGUAAUCAACACAGAGGCAAGCUCAGAUUAAAUGUGACCCGAUCAAACCCCAUCGAAUUGGACAUAUUGAAUAACAAACUCACUGAGAAGCUGCACACUUAUUUCGUUCUUGCAUAAUAUGAUUGAGGUGUCCUUCUGCAGUAUGACAUAUUCUUCUAUUAUAGAUAUUUUUGGUGUAAACCAAAUGCAUUUAGAU